CUGCCCUCCAGAGUUUGCUAGCUCGAGCAAACCUUACCCUUCUCUCAAAAGCGACGUGUACGCCUUUGGGGUCAUCUUGCUAGAGCUUCUUACGGGAAAAGUGUCCGGAGAUAGCGAUGAUCCAGGGGUCGUUGAAUGGGUUGUUAUGCUUGCGGGACAAAACCGUGCCGCCGAGUGUUUUGACCCGUCCAUUGUUAAGACACAUGCCUCUGGCUCUGGGGUUCUUAUUGAUGUCUUGCAGAUUGCUCUGAGCUGUAUCUCGCAGGCACAAAAGCGACGUGUACGCCUUUGGGGUCAUCUUGCUAGAGCUUCUAACGGGAAAAGUGUCGGGAGAUAGCGAUGAUCCAGGGGUCGUUGAAUGGGUUGUUCUGCUUGCGGGACAAAACCGUGCGUCCGAGUGUUUUGACCCGUCCAUUGUUAAGACACAUGCCUCUGGCUCUGGAGUUCUUAUUGAUGUAUUGCAGAUUGCUCUGAGCUGUAUCUCGCAG
rnacentral:lncRNA from 1 species